rnacentral:rRNA from 1 species
AUUGAACGCUGGCGGCAGGCUUAAUACAUGCAAGUCGAACGGUAACAUAGCGAAAGCUUGCUUUUGCUGAUGACGAGUGGCGGACGGGUGAGAAGUAUCUGGGAAACUGCCCUGAAGAGGGGGACAACAGCUGGAAACGGCUGCUAAUACCGCAUAAGCCCUGAGGGGGAAAGGAAGGCAACUUCCGCUUCAGGAUGUGCCCAGAAGGGAUUAGCUGGUAGGUGAGGUAAAGGCUCACCUAGGCGACGAUCUCUAGCCGGUCUGAGAGGAUGACCGGCCACAUCGGGACUGAGACACGGCCCGGACUCCUACGGGAGGCAGCAGUAGGGAAUAUUGCACAAUGGGGGGAACCCUGAUGCAGCCAUGCCGCGUGUGUGAAGAAGGCCUUCGGGUUGUAAAGCACGUUCAGCGGGGAGGAAAUUAAGUUAGACGUUACCCGCAGAAGAAGCGCCGGCUAACUCCGUG